AUUGAACGCUGGCGGCAGGCCUAACACAUGCAAGUCGAACGAGUGGCGGACGGGUGAGUAAUGUCUGGGAAACUGCCUGAUGGAGGGGGAUAACUACUGGAAACGGUAGCUAAUCCCGCAUACCAUCAGAUGUGCCCAGAGGGGAUUAGCUUGUUGGUGGGGUAACGGCUCACCAAGGCGACGAUCCCUAGCUGGUCUGAGAGGAUGACCAGCGAAACUGGAACUGAGACACGGGCCAGACGCAUAGGGGAGGCAGCAGUGGGGAAUAUUGCAGAAGGGGCGCAAGCCUGAUGCAGCCAUGCCGCGUGUAGGAAGAAGGCCUGCGGGGUGUAAAGUACUUUCAGCGGGGAGGCGUUACCCGCAGAAGAAGCACCGGCUAACUCCGUGCCAGCCGCCGCGGUAAUAC
rnacentral:rRNA from 1 species